rnacentral:rRNA from 1 species
UACGGAGGCUGCAAGCGUUAUCCGGAAUGAUUGGGCGUAAAGCGUCCGCAGGCGGCUGUGUAAGUCUGCUGUUAAAGAGUGAGGCUCAACCUCAUAAAAGCAGUGGAAACUACACGGCUAGAGUGCGUUCGGGGCAGAGGGAAUUCCUGGUGUAGCGGUGAAAUGCGUAGAUAUCAGGAAGAACACCGGUGGCGAAAGCGCUCUGCUAGGCCGCAACUGACACUGAGGGACGAAAGCUAGGGGAGCGAAUGGG